CCACGAAAGCACCUAUGGCAAUACUUUAUGGGGAAAUAUCUAUUGCUAACGAUUAUUUAAUUCCUCCUAAAUAUUUUCAGAAGUCCGCCAAUUCUUUUCACAAGACUGGCAUUUAUUUUCCUCAAUCCCUUCGACUCCUCACCGUUAUCUCUCUGUCUACAAUCUUUUAAAUCCAGCGUCCGGUUAGCCGUAAAGCAUUCUGUCUCGGUCAACUUGUGGUUGUGAGAUGCUUGAUAAGGAAGGGUCUGGACAGGGACCAGAGAAUGAGGACGUGGAAGUGUUUGCUGAUGUUGAUGGUAAUGAAUUGGAUGAGCUAAUGCAGAAGCCGAAAAAAAUGGUGGAAUUUUGGUAUUACAGAGUGAAGGCGGAUGAUUAAAAGAUUUACGGUUCGGCAUCGAGUAGGAGUAUGAAGUGGGAGAUGAUUCUGCAAGCUUCAGUCUCUCUAGAAUUACUGAGUGUAUUUAAAAUAAUAUGAUGCAUAUUAUCAUCAGUCCUGGGAAAAGUUUAAUUUGGGAUGUAAGUAUUAUUCCUACCCUUCGAUUUGAUCUUUCUCCUCUUCAUUUAUAGAGUAAUUUUAAGGAUGAUUUCGAAUAAUUACUGUGUUAAAAUUCUAAACCAUCUUCUUGAGUACUUAAGUUUUUUUAAGAAUC